AUACCUUUCUCGGCCUUUUGGCUAAGAUCAAGUGUAGUAUCUGUUUUUAUCAGUUUAAUAUCUGAUACGUGGAUCAUUGAUCCACAUGAUAUUAAAUUAAUCUUUUAAUGGGGAGGUGCCAUUCAAUAGCUUGCUAUUGGGUACCUCGAGCGUCGCCUCUGCGUUGCACUACAGCAAAGGCCUGGCGCACCCACC